rnacentral:rRNA from 1 species
UACGAAGGGGGCUAGCGUUGUUCGGAAUUACUGGGCGUAAAGCGCACGUAGGCCGGAUAUUUAAGUCGGGGGUGAAAUCCCGGGGCUCAACCCCGGAACUGCCUUCGAUACUGGGUAUCUUGAGUUGGAAGAGGUGAGUGGAAUUGCGAGUGUAGAGGUGAAAUUCGUAGAUAUUCGCAGGAACACCAGUGGCGAAGGCGGCUUACUGGUCCAUAA